GACGAACGCUGGCGGCGUGCUUAACACAUGCAAGUCGAACGGAAAGGCCCUGCUUUUGUGGUGUGCUCGAGUUGCGAACGGGUGAGUAACACGUGAGUAACCUGCCCUUGACUUUGGGAUAACUUCAGGAAACUGGGGCUAAUACCGGAUAGGAGCUCCUGCUUCAUGGUGUGGGUUGGAAAGUUUCGGCGGUUGGGGAUGGACUCGCGGCUUAUCAGCUUGUUGGUGGGGUAGUGGCUUACCAAGGCUUUGACGGGUAGCCGGCCUGAGAGGGUGACCGGCCACAUUGGGACUGAGAUACGGCCCAGACUGCUACGGGAGGCAGCAGUGGGGAAUAUUGCACAAUGGGCGGAAGCCUGAUGCAGCAACGCCGCGUGCGGGAUGACGGCCUUCGGGUUGUAAACCGCUUUCGCCUGUGACGAAGCGUGAGUGACGGUAAUGGGUAAAGAAGCAACGGCUAACUACGUG
rnacentral:rRNA from 1 species